rnacentral:rRNA from 1 species
CAGUAGCCGCGGUAAUACGUAGGUGGCAAGCGUUGUCCGGAAUUAUUGGGCGUAAAGCGCGCGCAGGUGGUUUAAUAAGUCUGAUGUGAAAGCCCACGGCUCAACCGUGGAGGGUCAUUGGAAACUGUUAAACUUGAGUGCAGGAGAGAAGAGUGGAAUUCCUAGUGUAGCGGUGAAAUGCGUAGAGAUUAGGAGGAACACCAGUGGCGAAGGCGGCUUUUUGGCCUGUAACUGACACUGAGGCGCGAAAGCGUGGGGAGCAAACAGGAUUAGAUACCCCCGUAGUCCCUGUCUCUUAUAC